rnacentral:tRNA from 1 species
UAGGUUGAAGCUUGUUUAGAGUGUCUAGCUGUUAACUAGGAGUUCGUAGGUUGAAAUCCUACCAAUCUAG